rnacentral:rRNA from 1 species
GACGAACGCUGGCGGCGUGCCUAAUACAUGCAAGUAGAACGCACAGUUUAUACCGUAGCUUGCUACACCAUAAACUGUGAGUUGCGAACGGGUGAGUAACGAGUAGGUAACCUGCCUGGUAGCGGGGGAUAACUAUUGGAAACGAUAGCUAAUACCGCAUAAUAUUAAUUAUUGCAUGAUAAUUGAUUGAAAGAUGCAAUUGCAUCAAUACCAGAUGGACCUGCGUUGUAUUAGCUAGUAGGUGAGGUAACGGCUCACCUAGGCGACGAUACAUAGCCGACCUGGGAGGGUGGUCCGCCACACUGGGACUGCGACACGGCCCAGACUCCUUCGGGAGGCAGCAGUAGGGGAUCUUCGGCAAUUGACGGAAGUCUGACCGAGCAACGCCGCGUGAGUGAAGAAGGUUUUCCGAUCGUAAAGCUCUGUUGUAAGAGAAGAACGGGUGUUGGAGUUGAAAGUUCACACUGUGACGGUAUCUUACCAGAAAGGGACGGCUAACUACGUG